GAGGAAUAUUGGACAAUGGGGGAAACCCUGAUCCAGCAAUGCCGCGUGAGUGAAGAAGGCCUUAGGGUUGUAAAGCUCUUUCGCCCGCGAAGAUAAUGACGGUAGCGGGAGAAGAAGCCCCGGCUAACUCCGUGCCAGCAGCCGCGGUAAUACGGAGGGGGCUAGCGUUGUUCGGAAUUACUGGGCGUAAAGCGAACGUAGGCGGAUGCGCAAGUUGGGGGUGAAAUCCCGGGGCUUAACCUCGGAAUUGCCCUCAAAACUGCACGUCUUGAGACCGAGAGAGGUAAGGGGAAUUCCUAGUGUAGAGGUGAAAUUCGUAGAUAUUAGGAAGAACACCAGUGGCGAAGGCGCCUUACUGGCUCGGUACUGACGCUGAGGUACGAAAGCGUGGGGAGCAAACA
rnacentral:rRNA from 1 species